rnacentral:rRNA from 1 species
CAGUAGCCACGGUAAUACGAAGGGGGCUAGCGUUGUUCGGAAUUACUGGGCGUAAAGCGCACGCAGGCGGCUCGAUAAAUUAGAAGUGAAAGCCUUGGGCUUAACCUGAGAAUUGCUUUUAAGACUGUCGAGCUAGAAUCCAGAAGAGGGUAGUGGAAUUCCGAGUGUAGAGGUGAAAUUCGUAGAUAUUCGGAAGAACACCAGUGGCGAAGGCGACUACCUGGUCUGGCAUUGACGCUCAUGUGCGAAAGCGUGGGGAGCAAACAGGAUUAGAUACCCCCGUAGUCCCUGUCUCUUAUAC